UAGAAGACACCUGGUCUCCAUAAAGGCUUAGGGCCAGGUGAGGAGUGGAGGGGGUUUGUUUCCUGUUUUGCCUGAGUGUGUUGUUGGAGCCUCACCAGGAUAUGAAGAGCUGCUGGAGAAGAAAGAAGGAAAAAGCUCAAAGGCCUCCUUCCUUCCACAGAUAGUGUGAGGGACCCAAUUCUCAGCCUCCAUAAACCAACCCAGCUUCACUGAAGUCUAUGCAGUUCUGCUGCUCAUCAGGUCAGGGAACAAGCCUGAACCCGAAGUUUGACAAAGCUCCACUCUGACCUUGAUCUUUUUCCUUAUCUCAUCUGAACCUGCUUGCAAGAAGUGAUGUUACUGUGCUUGGUUUAAGAAUCACCUGGGAUUCAUGAUAACAAAACAGUGACUUCAGAACAACACUCCUCCCAGAGCCUUGUACUUGAAGCAUUGAUUUUUGCUUCCUAUUACCAUAGCAACAAGAGUCCAUCUCUUCAGAAACUAGCCAGUGGAAACUACAAAAGGAGCAAAGUUCUUGAGUGCCUUGCUUCAGUCAAGGGAAAAGAAACUGGUGGAUUUGGAAACUGCCAAGAGAAAAAUACAUGUUGCCUUUCAUACCCAAAGUGUCAACAUCUUGACUGGACCAUAGCAAAAAUAAUCUUAACAUUGCAUCUAUAUUCCUGCUGCCUGUCUUUUCAUUCAAGAAAUGCCAUGCUGGCGAUUUAAACGUCACUACAUGCAUGUUCUUCUUCAAUGGGAGCACAAAAGGACUUCUCAACAGGUAAAGAAAUAAACCAUUAAUACAAUAGCUGUGACUUCCCACUGACUUUCUACUCAAUAUGUUUUCUGCCAGCUAUUUAAAAACAAACAAACAAACAAAAAAAGGGCAAGGCAGGAGCAUGUGAAGAGAAUAAACCCAUAUAAAUUUCAGUGAG